rnacentral:rRNA from 1 species
AACGAACGCUGGCGGCAUGCCUAACACAUGCAAGUCGAACGAGACCACCGUGAGUACUGGCGCAUAGGUGUGUAGCGCGGGGGAAGGGGCACGUAUGCACCGAAUACUUCCCUUUCAGGGGUGCUAACACCGGGUAACGUACUCUGAUACAAGAUUUGUCGUCCUUGGAUGAGCACGGGAUGGUUUAGCUUGUUGGGAGUGUAAGAGCCUAUCAAGGCGACGAUCCAUAGCUGGUCUGAGAGGAUGGUCCGCCACACUGGGGCUGAGACACGGCCCAGAAUCCUACGGGAGGCAGCAGAGGGGGAUAUUGGACAAUGGGGGAAGGCCUGAUCCAGCAAUGCCGGGUGAGUGAUGUAGGCGUGAGGGAAGUAAAGCUCUUUUACCCGGGAUGAUAAUGACGGUACCGGGAGAAUAAGCUCCGGCUAACUCCGUG